rnacentral:rRNA from 1 species
CACGUGGGCAAUCUGCCCUGCACUCUGGGACAAGCCCUGGAAACGGGGUCUAAUACCGGAUACGAGCCUCCUGGGCAUCUGGGAGGUUGGAAAGCUCCGGCGGUGCAGGAUGAGCCCGCGGCCUAUCAGCUUGUUGGUGAGGUAACGGCUCACCAAGGCAACGAUGCGUAGCCGACCUGAGAGGGUGAUCGGCCACACUGGGACUGAGACACGGCCCAGACUCCUACGGGAGGCAGCAGUAGGGAAUCUUCCACAAUGGACGAAAGUCUGAUGGAGCAACGCCGCGUGAGUGAAGAAGGA